CUUCGGGAGAAAGAUUUAUCGGUCAAGGAUGAGCCCGCGUUGGAUUAGCUAGUUGGUGGGGUAAAGGCCUACCAAGGCGACGAUCCAUAGCUGGUCUGAGAGGAUGAUCAGCCACAUUGGGACUGAGACACGGCCCAAACUCCUACGGGAGGCAGCAGUGGGGAAUAUUGGACAAUGGGCGCAAGCCUGAUCCAGCCAUGCCGCGUGAGUGAUGAAGGCCCUAGGGUUGUAAAGCUCUUUCACCGGAGAAGAUAAUGACGGUAUCCGGAGAAGAAGCCCCGGCUAACUUCGUGCCAGCAGCCGCGGUAAUACGAAGGGGGCUAGCGUUGUUCGGAAUUACUGGGCGUAAAGCGCACGUAGGCGGAUCGAUCAGUCA
rnacentral:rRNA from 1 species